GGGCCCUACGGGGGGCAGCAGUGGGGAAUAUUGCACAAUGGGGGGAACCCUGAUGCAGCGACGCCGCGUAAAGGAAGAAGUAUUUCGGUAUGUAAACUUCUAUCAGCAGGGAAGAAAAAGGACGGUACCUGACUAAGAAGCCCCGGCUAACUACGUGCAAGCAGCCGCGGUAAUACGUAGGGGGCAAGCGUUAUCCGGAUUUACUGGGUGUAAAGGGAGCGUAGACGGCGUGCCAAGUCUGAUGUGAACGGCCGGGGCUCAACCCCGAGACUGCAUUGGAAACUGGCAUGCUGGA
rnacentral:rRNA from 1 species